rnacentral:rRNA from 1 species
GACGAACGCUGGCGGCGUGCCUAAUACAUGCAAGUCGAGCGAAGUUUUUCUGGUGCUUGCACUAGAAAAACUUAGCGGCGAACGGGUGAGUAACACGUAAAGAACCUGCCUCAUAGACUGGGACAACUAUUGGAAACGAUAGCUAAUACCGGAUAACAGUAUUUCUCGCAUGGGAGAUAAUUAAAAGUUGGUUAUGCUAACACUAUGAGAUGGCUUUGCGGUGCAUUAGCUAGUUGGUGGGGUAAAGGCCCACCAAGGCGACGAUGCAUAGCCGACCUGAGAGGGUGAUCGGCCACACUGGGACUGAGACACGGCCCAGACUCCUACGGGAGGCAGCAGUAGGGAAUCUUCCGCAAUGGGCGAAAGCCUGACGGAGCAACGCCGCGUGAGUGAAGAAGGAUUUCGGUUCGUAAAGCUCUGUUGUUAGGGAAGAAUGGAUAUGUAGUAACUAUACAUGUAAGAGACGGUACCUAACCAGAAAGCCACGGCUAACUACGUG